GUGCUCACUUUAGCAGCACAUACACUAAAAUUGGAAUGUUACAGAAAAGAUUAGCAUGGCCCCUUUACAAGCAUGACAUACAAAUAUGUGAAAUGUUCCAUAUUUUU